ensembl:lncRNA
UAGGUUGGACUAGAAGUCGUGAGAGCGUGUUUAGAAGAAAGUACGUUUGCAGUAAAUCUGUGAACUAAGUAUCCUUUCAAGCAUGUAUCUGGAAUGCACUGUUCAGCAGGUCUCUAGACUUCAUCCAGAGGGAACUUUCCUCGAACAGACUGAAAUAUUUUGAAGCAGGCACAGAGACAUUUGAAUGCGGAUGAACCAAACUAGGAAUCCCUAGCACCAUUUUGUAACUAGUAUCAUAGCUAGUCUCUCAGCAGAGGGUCCUUUCCGGCGUUGUGGUGGUUUUGAGGUGUGAUGAGACCGGCAGCUUCGAUUGCCUUGGACCCCACAGUGUGCUUCUGCAGGACUGAGGGAGGGACGGAGAUGCACCUUUUUAAUGCUGCAAUGCCAAUCAGAUAGUUAAUUGCAGUGUGGAGCAAUAGGAAGCACAGCAUUCUUCCCAAGAAGAGCACAUUUGAAUGCGGAGGAGCACAAAAGAGAAGGUUGGUAUAUUCACGUAUUUUGAGACAAUAUUUU